UUGGAGGGCAAGUCUGGUGCCAGCAGCCGCGGUAAUUCCAGCUCCAAUAGCGUAUAUUAAAGUUGUUGCGGUUAAAAAGCUCGUAGUCUGAGGUCUGUUCCGGACUGGCUGGGCAAGCACCGCCCGGUGCUUGCCCGUCAGGUUCGGAACAGCUUCUGCCGCGAGCGGAAGCCAAGCCGGUUCUGCCGGGGUGCUCUUGACCGAGUGUCCCGCGCGGCCGGCCAGUUCACCUUGAACAAAUGAGAGUGCUCAAAGCAGGCUACUCUUAAAACUAAAGCCCGAAUGUUAACUGCAUGGAAUGAUGAAAGAUGAGUUCGGUUAUAUUUUACUGGCUAUGAUAACCCGAAUUAAUGAUAAACAGGGACUGUCGGGGGCAUCCGUACUACGACGCGAGAGGUGAAAUUCAAUGACCGUCGUAGGACGAACAACAGCGAAAGCAUUUGCCAAGAAUGUCUUCGUUGAUCAAGAACGAAAGUUAGAGGAUCGAAGGCGAUCAGAUACCGCCCUAGUUCUAACCCUAAACGAUGCUAACUAGCAAUUCGCCGUCGUUAUUCCCAUGACGUGGCGAGACGCCCCCGGGAAACCUCAAGUCUUUGAGUUCCGGGGGUAGUAUGGUUGCAAAACUGAAACUUAAAGGAAUUGACGGAAGGGCACCACCAGGAGUGGAGCCUGCGGCUUAAUUUGACUCAACACGGGAAACCUCACCAGGCCCGGACACCAGAAGGAUUGACAGAUUAAGAGCUCUUUCUCGAUUUGGUGGGUGGUGGUGCAUGGCCGUUCUUAGUUGGUGGAGUGAUUUGUCUGGUUAAUUCCGGUAACGAACGAGACUCUGGCCUACUAACUAGUGGAUGGGUGUUCUGGUAACGGGCCCCAUCCGAUAAUGUCUUCUUAGAGGGAUGAGCAGCGAGUAUAGCUGCAGGAGAUUGAGCAAUAACAGGUCUGUGAUGCCCCUUAGAA
rnacentral:rRNA from 1 species